rnacentral:rRNA from 1 species
GAUGAACGCUAGCGGCAGGCCUAACACAUGCAAGUCGAACGGUAACAGAUCCUGCUUGCAGGAUGCUGACGAGUGGCGCACGGGUGCGUAACACGUAUGCAACUUACCCCUAACUGGAGAAUAGCCUUUAGAAAUGAAGAUUAAUACUCCAUAAUAUUUCAGAGUGGCAUCACUUUGAUCUUAAAGCUUUGGCGGUUAGGGAUGGGCAUGCGUCCUAUUAGUUAGUUGGUGAGGUAAUGGCUCACCAAGACUUCGAUAGGUAGGGGGCCUGAGAGGGUUAUCCCCCACACUGGUACUGAGACACGGACCAG